rnacentral:lncRNA from 1 species
GCUGAACUGCCAAGUGCUUUUUUUUUCCUUCUGCCAACAACUUCUAAAGAAGAAUCAUGCAAGUAAUGUGACCUAAUUUGGUGUUCUAGAAAAGAAGGAUGUAAAUUCAUCUAGAAGGAGCUGGAUUAAUCCUGCUAGAGCUCAUUUUACAUUGCUCGCCUUAAGCUGAAAUCGAACUCUGGUACGAAAAAAGCAAGUGCUCUAACCACUCUUCUGUUUGUGAAAGGUGUGGUGGCAGAAGUAUUCCUUUUUUUAAGUUGUAAGACUUAUCUGAGUUGCAGAAAAGGUCUGUGUUGCAUACUUGGUACUUUUAUUAUUUGUUCUUCAGUCAGUACAUCUACCAACAAGUAGCCUGUGGAACACCAAAAAUGCUUGAGCAAAUCAUCUUGCUUAUACAGACUCUUUGUUGAUAAAAAUUAUGCCCAAAUUCUCUUAUUUUGCCAAAACAAAGACUCCAUGUAGUUUAGUACCACUUCUGUAAAACUGAUGCUGAUUUCUAAGACAAUAACUAAGCUUUUUGCCUUUCAUUUUUUGAAUCUGUAUGUUUUCAAUCCUCAGUGGACUACAUACAUACAAACUUUUCAGUGUAAUAACCAAUUGGUCUUUGAUUCUAAAAAGAACAAGCAAGCUUUAGUGGUGAGGUUUGGGGAAAUCAGAGUGGCAGGAAUGGCACAGGAAAACUAUUAAUUCUACUUAAAAUUGUACUGAAGCCUGACCCUUGUGAAUGCUGAAUUGGCCCACCAAACUGAAUCUUUGCCUACAGGGUUUUUGAUACAACAUCUAUUAUUCCCAUUUUUCUUAUCUAUUACCAAGGAAAUAGUGCUAACAGCAGAUUUUUAGCUGUCUGUGUAUAAAAACAGAAUAUAGAGAGGGAAUGACCUAAACUGUACUUUCCGUUUGAUCCGUACUUGGCAACCAUACAGAACAGUAGCAUGGAGACUGCAAUUUAUGGAGUAAAGCCACUUGAGAAAUCCUGUUUGGGUCAUGAGAAGCUAUUUGAGAUUAAGAGGAAAAUGACUCAAUAGGCAUGAGGUUUUCUAUUUGUAUACGUAGUGCAGCAGUCCUUGGAAGAGUGACAGUAUUUAAUGCCUUGAAAAUGUUGCAGGAAAUUGUAUGUGUGGCUUGUAUUGAAUAAAUGGUUCUUCCCAUCAAGAGAAAUGAGGAGCAAAUACCAUUGUUUAACUUCUUUAACCUGCUCAUGGUGACCAGUAUAAAAUGCAGUUGCCCUUUGCAGAAUCCAGACUGAGGUUAUUACAAGAAAAAAAAUAAUUUUAGAGAGUCUCGAUUUGUCAAAGCCAUCACGAACUGACCUUCAGUCUUCAGCUGUAGGAUCUGUGUCCAUUUGCUUACAUGGUGACUGAUGACAAACAGGAGGAGAAGAAUGCAGACAGUUGAAAGCCAGGUUUACAGACCUUGUCCUGACCAGACUGCUUUUACCCUGUUGCAAUUCCAGAAAUUUCACUUUUAGUAGAUGUCACUGCCUGGAGAAGAAAGAAUUGCAUCUGAGCUCUUUCUUUUGCAAUAGCUCACUCUGGAUAACAGAUUCUAAGUUAAUGAAGCACACCUGAAAGAUGUUGUUUUCUCAUUUCCCAUUGUAUGAGAUAAGUGAAGCUACAGAAGGAGAUUAUGGAGAGGGGAUAUAAUGUAAGGGAGGAAAUUGUGAAUAAAGUUGUGUUUUAACCAA